GCAAGUCGUGCGAGAAAGUUCUUCGGAUAUGAGUAGAGCGGCGGACGGGUGAGUAACGCGUAGGAAUCUACCUAGUAGAAGGGGAUAGCCCGGGGAAACUCGGAUUAAUACCGUAUACCUCCUUCGGGAGAAAGAAGGCCUCUCUUUGAAGCUUUCGCUAUUAGAUGAGCCUGUGUAAGAUUAGCUUGUUGGUGAGGUAAAGGCUCACCAAGGCGACGAUCUUUAGCGGGUCUGAGAGGACGAUCCGCCACAUUGGGACUGAGACACGGCCCAGACCCCUACGGGAGGCAGCAGUGGGGAAUAUUGGACAAUGGGCGCAAGCCUGAUCCAGCCAUACCGCGUGUGUGAAGAAGGCCCUAGGGUUGUAAAGCACUUUAAGUUGGGAAGAAAAGUUAUUGGUUAAUACCCAAUAACCGUGACAUUACCAUCAGAAUAAGGACCGGCUAAUUCCGUGCCAGCAGCCGCGGUAAUACGGAAGGUCCAAGCGUUAAUCGGAAUUACUGGGCGUAAAGCGCGCGUAGGUGGUUUAUUAAGUUGGAUGUGAAAUCCCCGGGCUCAACCUGGGAACUGCAUCCAAAACUGAUUCACUAGAGUACGAUAGAGGGAGGUAGAAUUCACAGUGUAGCGGUGGAAUGCGUAGAUAUUGUGAAGAAUACCAAUGGCGAAGGCAGCCUCCUGGAUCUGUACUGACACUGAGGUGCGAAAGCGUGGGUAGCGAACAGGAUUAGAUACCCUGGUAGUCCACGCCGUAAACGAUGUCAACUAGCUGUUGGAGAACUAUGU
rnacentral:rRNA from 1 species